AACUUACCCCAUCCAAAGACACCAGUAUUAAGCAAAUUUCUUUUUUUACUACCUUUUUAAUAUAGUUUUGGGUCAUUUAGUUCUAAAGUUAGAUUUGUUUUUCCAAUUAUUUUUUAGAACUUCAUUACUUGCCAUUUCGCUAACUGAAGAGCUGCGCUUUGUGAUGUCUCUUGUUUUAUUGUUUUAAAUUGUGUUUUCCUUUAUCUGUUUCUAGCUGUUUUCGCAAAGUCAGCCAACCACUUGCUUCCAAAUGACCCUUAUCCAGAAGUAUCCGUGAGUGCCUCAUCAACAGAAACUAAAGUGGAGACCUACCUCUCAGAGAAAAACGCACACAUAAGAAAAGCCGACCCACUUCAGUACUGGGAAGAACAUCCUAAUCUGUUUCCCUCUAUGGCUGCUGUUGCGAUCCCAGUGUGCCCCUGUAGCUCUGUGGACAGUUUUGGAUUUGUUUACAUCUCACCCAACCGCUCACGGCAGAUGGCUGCACCUCUCUAAGCCUGGUUCUGCCGGAGGUUUCUUCCUGUUAAAAGGGAGUUUUUCUGAACACACUCUACCACCAACAAGGACAGCUCACCAGUGGGAACUGAUAGAAAGACUGCUGAUGCUCUCAUCCAUUGAAGAGCUGACCAGAAAUGUGAUCAGAGAGAUGCACUGCACCUGAUGGGAUCCCUGCCAUAACAGAUGUGUUCUGUCCAGUGAAGGCAGUGGAGAAGCCCUACACUGAUCUUGAAACUGUGCCACGCUAGUAGAGACCGGCUACAAGGAUGGGCAGCUGUUUUCGCAAAGUCAGCCAACCACUUGCUUCCAAAUGACCCUUAUCCAGAAGUAUCCGUGAGUGCCUCAUCAACAGAAACUAAAGUGGAGACCUACCUCUCAGAGAAAAACGCACACAUAAGAAAAGCCGACCCACUUCAGUACUGGAAGAACAUCCUAAUCUGUUUCCCUCUAUGGCUGCUGUUGCGAUCCCAGUGUGCCCCCUGUAGCUCUGUGGACAGUUUUGGAUUUGUUUACAUCUCCCCAACCGGUCGCGGCAGAUGGCCGCCCUCCCUGAGCCUGGUUCUGCCGGAGGUUUCUUCCUGUCAAAGGGAGUUUUUCCUUCCCACUGUCGCCAAAGUGCUUGCUCAUAGGGGGUCAUAUGAUUGUUGGGUUUAUUAUAUACAUUAAUGCUUGUAUGCUUUUCAUUUAUACUUUGCCUUACUCUUCAGUUCAUAAUAUAAAGUUACUUGAAUGGUUUCCUUUUCGUUUUCCUUUUUUAUUUUAUAUUGCUUUGCUAUUUACCACAAUCUAAAUAUCAUGUUUAAAUGUCAUACAUUAUUGUAAAUGGUAUCUGUACAAAAUAUUGUUUGAAUAACAUGAUACAUUUAUUAGUCCCACAACGGGAAAUUUCAUAAUUUGCAUGUGGUAUUUUCCCUUUGACAUUAAAUACCUUUGAAAUAC
ensembl:lncRNA